CCUCUCUUUUUGGCGGUGACCGGGCGUGCGGUCCCGCUCCCCGUUAUGUGCGGAGGCAGAGGGAAAGGGCUCUGGCCCCCUCGGCGUAGGGCAGAACCGAAGACCA